rnacentral:lncRNA from 1 species
CCAGCUGAAACUCGCUUCUCCGGCUGAAAGCCUCCCUGAUGCCAGAAUCCCUCCAGAGUGCGCUCAGGGCCGGGACGUACAGCUGGAAGGUGGCCGGCUCCACAGGCAGCCCCGCCUUGUUCUCGAAGGCCAUCAGGAACAUCCCAUGCUUCUCAUUUUCAGAAUACUGCCAAGGAAUGCCAAGCUUAUCUCGUGCAUCAACAAGAACCCUUGAGCCCUA